rnacentral:rRNA from 1 species
ACUCCUACGGGAGGCAGCAGUGGGGAAUAUUGCACAAUGGGCGCAAGCCUGAUGCAGCCAUGCCGCGUGUAUGAAGAAGGCCUUCGGGUUGUAAAGUACUUUCAGCGGGGAGGAAGGCGAUAAGGUUAAUAACCUUGUUGAUUGACGUUACCCGCAGAAGAAGCACCGGCUAACUCCGUGCCAGCAGCCGCGGUAAUACGGAGGGUGCAAGCGUUAAUCGGAAUUACUGGGCGUAAAGCGCACGCAGGCGGUCUGUCAAGUCGGAUGUGAAAUCCCCGGGCUCAACCUGGGAACUGCAUUCGAAACUGGCAGGCUAGAGUCUUGUAGAGGGGGGUAGAAUUCCAGGUGUAGCGGUGAAAUGCGUAGAGAUCUGGAGGAAUACCGGUGGCGAAGGCGGCCCCCUGGACAAAGACUGACGCUCAGGUGCGAAAGCGUGGGGAGCAAACAGGAUUAGAAACCCUGGUAGUCCCAUG